UUGGAUGUGGUGAGUGUGAACAUCAAUAUCCAAGUGUUGAAAAAUAGAUGUGAGGAGUAGACCAUAACCCAAACAAUUGUUGUGAUAACAAAACUUAAAUGAUGUAAGUAGUAAAUAUGGAAAAUUUAAGGCAUAUUUUGAGUUAAAAUACACUUCAUCAGUUCCAAGUCAAAAGGAUGUAACAGUUUAUCAUCUCUAACAUGCAUAACAUUUUGUCUGAACAUUUUUCUGAGAAAUUGACAUUAAGUAGUCAGAAAAUCAAGACCAAUCUUUGAUGGAAAAUCAAAUAGAUGAGUAGGUACCAGUUGGUCUGUAACGGUGGCUAAAUUAUGCUUGAAAGUGAUUCAUUGACUAGUGGAUGUGCCUAUUGGAUGAGUGUAAGCAUUUGUUUUUGAAAGUUCUAGCAUGUUGUUUCCUAGAUGUAAUGCAUGAAAAAGAAGUAAUUCAUCAAUGACAUAAGAUUGUCCUUCUAAGAUAGUACAAAUACCAGUUAAGGUACCAGUUGAAUCUCGAAUAAAAUUCAUAUGAUAAUAAAAUUCAACAAUAAGAGCUGGAUAAAUUUGUUUAUCAGUGAAAGUAAUUAAACACUCCCAUCCCACAUUUUUGAUUUUUUUAAAUAUGUGAGGAAAGUUGUUAAAGGAAGUUAUUAUGCUUGGUGUGAGACUGUGUCUUAUGUGCCUAUACUUGACUUAUGCUGAGGAAGUAACUAGUUGAGGUGCAUAAGUGUCAGGAUGUAACUCAGAUAAAAGUGGGAGUUUCCUUUGUUUAGAAGAGUAAACAGGGUCCAUUUAUGACAACAAGUGAUGUAAACAGAAAGAGGAUAGAAACAGUUACCAGGUGAUGAACGAAAAUAAACCAUGUAUGCAGUAAACAUGUGGAGUUUCCAUUUAUAGAAGGAUACUGUGACAGAUAGGGCAAGAAUUAAACAAAGGGAUGUAAGCAUUUAUUUAUCUAACAUAGACAAUUCAGAUAUAAGGACCAAGGAAAAUACAUAUCUGCAGAAAACAUUGAGUAGCCAUAGUUGGUGUCUAAUUAAUUUAAUGUUUUGCAAAAAAAAUCUUUUUAUUUAAGAAAAAAUCAAGAGAGAGAUAGAGACCAGUCAUAUACAGUAAAUAUUACCAUAUAUUUUAAAAGAAUAUGUUUUGAAAAAUAGAGAGAUUAAUUCGAACAUGUCUAAUCAGUAAGAGCAACUCCAGCAGGCCGGAGUUGCCAAAUUCGUAGACUAUAUUUGUGACGCCCCCAAAAUAGGUAUACAUCACCCAUCUUGAGUCGCCAAAUACAUGGUACAAAAAAUACAAAUACAACUUAAUAAUACAACUAUCGUGUAAAAUACGACAAAACAUAAACUGAGAGUUUUAAUAAGAAUAUUGUCAUCUAGACAAUAUCCACACUCAAUCGAGUCCUCAUUACAUUUAUUGUCACACUAUUUAAUAGAAUAGUGAGGACUACUAAUGCUAUCAUCUGGACAGUCACUCCUUUCCCAGACUCGUCCCAGCUAUAUUCUCAUUUCCUGAAGAGAACAGUGAAAGAAAAGGGUAAGCUCAACUAGCCCAGUAAGAAAUAUCGUGACUAAGAUAAUGCAGAAUAAAUUAUCAUUAGUCUUCAACAAUGUUAAACUAAUAAAAUAUAAUAGACAUCAAGUUUAAUUGCAGUGGAACAAGCAAUCCAUUAGAAGAGUCAAGUAGAGAAUAAAAUCUAUUAUCUACUAUCAUUUAAAAAGUUUUCAUCAAUUUUUAUCACUGAAACUCAGCUCAACAAAUAAACCACAUCAUCGAGUCAUCCCUGCACUACGGGCCAAGGAUAUUCAUUAAAUAAUCCAUGGUCAUGACUAUACCGAAUAAUCCCUGGUCAUAAUCAUACCAAAAACUGUCCAUCAAUGCACUACAGGCUACUGAGGACUUUUACCACCUCAUUUAUAACAUUACAGGUCAUGAUUAUACCGAAUGAUCCCUGGUCAUAAUCAUACAAAGUUCAUCUAUGCACGUAAGCCAAAGAUGACUUUUAUCAUAAUAUAAGCAUGACGAUGAUGACAAUGACAUAAUAAUUCAAUAAAACAAGUUCAAGAAUAAAUUUUAAAAAUUUAUAAGUUAAUUUAUCCUGAACUCAAUAAUGUCCAAAUUAUCAACAUGAUACUUCUUUGUGGAGUAAAAAUUCAAGAAUGUUCAGAAAAAUAUUUUCAUUAAAAGAUACUAGAUGAAGCGCAAAUAUCAAAGAUAUUUCACUAAUUUUAUGGAGUAUAGAAGUCAAAGCUUUAACCAACUAAGUAUAAGAGAAUAUAUAAAACUACAAAUGGAUUUUCGGCCGCCACGCGGUACUCCACUUAGACAGAUCAUUUCCAUAAUUUAAUAAGGAGUGAAUACAAAGGUUCAUUCACCAUGCAUGUGAUAAUCCACAUAGACAGGUUAUUCCAACAGAAUGAUAAAGAAUGGAAUAACAGAAGAAAUAAUCAUGCAUGCGAUAAACCGCACAGACAGGUUAUUCCAACAUAAUAAUAAAGAAUGAAACUAGGUCAUGCGUAAACAUACUGACAGGAUAUUCCGACAGAAUAAUAAAUAAUGGAACCAGGUCCGGCGUAAACGCACAGACAGGAUAUUUCGACAGAAUAAUAAAUGAUGGAACUAGGUCCGGCGUAAACGCACAGACAGGAUAUUUCGACAGAGUAAUAAAGAACGGAAUAAUAGAAGAAUUUCACCAUGUAUACGGUACUUCGCAUAAACAGGUUAUUCCAACAUAAUAAUGAAGAAUGGAAUAACAGAAUAAUUUCACCAUGUAUGCGGUACUUUGCAUAAAUAGGUUAUUCCAACAGAAUAAUAUGGGAUGGAAUAACAAUAGCUCUCUUCAUGAAUACGAAAGAAAUAAUACCCCUUACCUCAGAAGAAACUGGAUACUGGAAUAGUGACGUAGCAGGCUUCUCUUCUUCUUUCUCUUUAUAGAUUUUCCCUCUAUAGCUUCUCUCUAUAAUUUCUCUCUAUAAUAAUUGUUCUAUAGCUUUAGUGAAUUGGAGAGAAAUGAAGGAAGAAUGAGCUUCUAUUUAUAGAAAAAUAUAGUUUUGAUAAUUGCACGUUUUGGGGCUCGAAAAAUUACAGUACAAUACCUCCAACUUUUCUUUCAUUUUUAAUUUAGUCCUGCAAGUAUUAUCAAACUUGCACCACCUCCCCUAAUAGUAAAUAAUGUGAAUCAAUAGUUCAAUUAUGUUAAUCAAUAGUUAUAAUCAUGUGAAAAUACGAAUUACGGUAUAGUACCUCCAUCUAUACUUCCAUCUUUAAUUUAAUCAUGCAAGAAUUAUCAAUCUUGCACCAAUUCCCCUAAUAGUAUAAGAAUGUGAUUCAAUAGUACACACAUGUGAACAAAUAGUUAUAUAAGCAUGUGAAUUAGUAGCAAUUAAUUGAUCAUUUAUCCGAUAAAUUCCCUGAUUUAUCAAUAUAACCCCCAGACAUCAAUUAUCAUCUGAAUAGAUGUCGAUUACCACUAACAUUAAUAAUCCCAACACAAUGGAACUAUCAAAUUCAUCUUUAAUCAAUAUGAAAUUAUUCAUCAUUAAUAUUAUAACUCAUAAUAUUUAACAACCAGGUCGUUCUCAGGAAAGAGGGGGCUUUCCAAUAAGGAUUUCUCCCUAUUGGCGCGCAAUUAGGUGACCAAACCUCUCCUUGGCAGAAGUUCUAGACAUUAUAAAUAUUACAAUUUAAUAAUAUGAAUAACUUUAUCGUCUCAAUUAUUGAUUUAAUAAUAUAUCAUAUAGUGCAGAUGAUACUGUGACAAUAAUCGAAUCAAUAAUAUGAGAGAUAUGAUGCAAUAAUUACUGUAGCAAUAAUUAAGUAUAACUGAGUGACUUCUCACGUAAGCAUCAAUAACCAAUACCGUGUGCUACUAUGCAACCACGCGUAUUACUAUACUUUUACUACCGUGUAGUUCAACAGUUUUAACGAUAACACUUUCGCCUUUAUUUUUAUAACAAGAUAAUUCUGUCAUUUUCUUACUACGACAAUACUUCCGUUGUGGGGUCCACCAAUGAUUGUGCCGUCGUAUGAAUAUUCCCUGUUAAAACGAAUAUUCCCCGACCAAUCGAAUAUUAUAUAACCACUUGAUUACUUUGCAAAAUUUGUAAAUAUUACCCACAACUAUAACAUUAUAUAAUAUUCACACCAUAAUAUUCAAAAAUAUGUUUCGAGAGAAAUUAAUCUUUAUUCAUAAAAGUUGGGGUCUUACAACCUCCCCUUCUUAUGAAAUUUCGUCCUCGAAAUUAGGGUGUGUACCUGGUAUAUCGAAGAGGUGAGGAUAUCUUGACUUCAUCUCAGAUUCUAACUCCUAGGUCAUUUCUUCCACAUCGUGAUUUCUCCACAAAACUUUGACUUGAGGUAUAACCUUGGAGCAUAGAAUAUGAUCCUUCUUUUCCAAGAUUUUAACAAGUAACUCUUCAUACGUUAAAUCUUCCUCUAUCUCGUCUGGUUCUAAUUCAAUAAUGUGAUUCGGGUCUUUCACAUAUUUACGUAACAUAGAUAUGUGGAAAACGUUAUGAACAUGAGACAUACUUGGCGGUAAGGCGAGUCUAUAGGCCACAGUUCCUACUCGUUCGAGUAUUAUAAAUGGGCCAAUGAAUCGAGGAUUGAGUUUUUCUCUCUUUCCAAAUCUUGUAACUCCUUUCCAUGGAGCAACACGUAACAACACAUGAUCUCCAAUAUUGAAUUCCACGUCCUUUCGAUAAAGAUCAGCAUAACUCUUUUGUCGAUCUUGUGAGGUUUUUAUACGUUGUCGGAUUGUUUGAAUCUUUUCCGUAGUCAUACGUACCAAAUCCGGUCCCAACAACAUUGCUUCACCCACCUCAUCCCAACAUACUGGAGAACGACACUUUCUUCCAUAUAACGCCUCAAAUGGAGCCAUGCCAAUACUUGCUUGAUAACUAUUGUUGUAGGAAAACUCCACCAAUGGUAAGAACUUAUUCCAACUUCCCUUGAAGUCAAGGACACAUAGUCUUAAUAAAUCCUCAAGAGUUUGAAUAGUCCUCUCUGAUUGUCCGUCCGUUUGAGGAUGAUACGCCGAACUAAAUCGUAAAUUCGUGCCCAUAGCUUUUUGCAAACUAACCCAAAAUCUUGAAGUGAAUCUUGGGUCUCGAUCAGAAACUAUGGAUACUGGCAUACCAUGCAGUCUUACAAUCUCGUUUAUGUAUAUACGAGCAAGACGUUCAAAUGUAUAAGUUUCUCGUAUCGGUAAGAAAUGAGCAGACUUGGUCAAUCUAUCAACAAUGACCCAAAUCGCAUCUAUGCCUUGAGAAACCUUGGGAAGACCAGUAACGAAAUCCAUGGUAAUGUGCUCCCACUUCCAUUUUCAAGUGGUUGCAAUGGACCUUUUGGCACUUGAUGCUCCGCCUUGACUCGUUGACAAGUUAGACACCUUGAGAUAAACAGCGUUAUCUCUCUCUUCAUAUUGCUCCACCUAAAUGUAUGUCGAAGAUCACGAUACAUUUUGGUACUCCUAGGAUGGAUUGCAAACGGUGUGUUGUGCGCCUCCAUCAUGAUUUUAUACUUCAAAUCAGAAUCGUUAGGAACACAAAGUCUGGAGUUGACUCGAAGUAUUCCUUCUUCAUCGAUUCUUGCUUCCGGAAUAGCACCUUCUUGUACUUUUUUUCUCAUACGUAUCAGCUCUAGGUCUGUAGCUUGAGCAGCUUUAUCUUUAUCGAUUAAAGUUGGUUCCACUCGUAUAUUCGCCAUCAUCACAUGGGUCCCUGGAGUCUUUAACUCUAUUUCCAUCCUUUCCAAGUCAUACACAAUGGGCCUUUGCAUUGACAAUAAUUCACUCGUGCCCGCAUAUGAUCUUCUACUCAAUGCGUCAGCUACUACGUUCGUUUUUCCAGGAUGGUAUUGGAUGGUAUGAUCAUAAUCUUUCAACAACUCAAGUCAUCAUCGUUGUCGCAUGUUGAGUUCCUUUUGAGUGAAGAAAAUAUUUGAGGCUUUUAUGAUCCGUAUAGAUCUCCACCUUCUUUCCAUACAGGUAAUGCCUCCAAAUCUUAAGUGCGAAGACAACAGCUGCCAACUCUAGAUCAUGAGUAGGAUAAUUCUUCUUAUAUUCUUUGUCGUGAGGCAUAAGGUAUGACUUUCCCAUGUUUCAUGAGAACACAUCCUAACCCUUUACCUGAAACAUCACUGUAAAUGACAAAUCCCUCUGUGCUAGAUGGUAUUGUCAGAACAGGUACUGAAAUGAGUCUCCUCUUGAGUUCUUAAAAACUCUUCUCACAUUCCUCGCUCCAACUGAAUUUUGUAUCUUUUCGAGUCAGCUGCAUUAAUAGAGUAGCAAUUCAAGAAAACCCUUCUACGAAUCUCUGAUAAUAACCAGCUAAGCCGAGAAAGCUACGUACUUCAGUUACUUCAAUUACUGACUUAGGUUGCUCCCAACUUUGAAUUGCUUCAAUCUUUGCCAGGUCAACAAAUAUUCCAUGAUUUGAUAAUACGUGCCCAAGGAAUGCUACUUCCUCAAGCCAGAACUCGCAUUUCUUCAACUUGGCAUAUACCUUGUUUUCACGAAGCUUUUUAAGUAUCAGCCUCAAGUGUUGCUCAUGGUCUUCACGGGUUUUGGAAUAAAUGAGGAUGUCAUCAAUAAAGACGACCACAAAGUGAUCCAAAUAUUCCUUGAAUACUCGGUUCAUCAUAUCCAUGAAGGCAGCAGGAGCAUUAGUCAAUCCAAAAGACAUGACUAUGAAUUUAUAAUGCCCAUACCGAGUUCUGAAAGCAGUCUUUGGAAUGUCAUCAGUUUUAAUCUUCAACUGAUGAUAUUCAGAACGAAGAUCAAUAUUUGAAAAGAAUUUGGCGCCUUGCAACUGGUCAAACAGAUCAUCAAUACGAGGUAACGGGUACCUAUUUUUUAUGGUGAUAUAAUUCAACUCCCGAUAAUCAAUACAAAGUCGCAUACUUCCAUCUUUCUUCUUCACGAAUAGGACAGGAGCACCCCAAGGAGACGUACUAGGACGAAUGAAACCGAUGUCUAACAAUUCCUGUAGUUAGGUUUUUAACUCCUGAAGUUCAAUAGGAGUCAUUCGAUAUGGGGCUUUGAAAAUGGGUUUUGUACCGGUUUCAAGAUCGAUACAAAAUUCAAUUUCACGCUCUGGGGGUAGGCCAGGAAGUUCUUCAGGGAAUACGUCAGGAAAUUUAUUAACAAUAGAAAUAUCAUUCAAAUCUGACGUAUUUUUAUUUAAAUCCGUGACAUGGGCUAAGAAAGCUUGACAUCCGUUUUUCAAUAAACGAAUAGCUUUAUGGCUUGAUAUGACAGUGAUUGAUUUUAGUGGUUUGGCUGCUUGAAUUCGUAUAAUAGGUUGGUUAGGAAUAUGAAAGCUAACAACCUUACGAAAACAAUCGAUUUUAGCAUGAUGAAUAGUUAACCAAUCAAUCCCUAAAAUCACAUCAAAUGCAAGUAUUUUCAAAGAAAUAAGAUUGACAGAUAACGUGCGGUUACCGAUUUGAAUCAAACAAGACUUAUAAACAGUGGAUGUAAUGAAGGUUUCUCCCAACGGAGUUUCAACUGAUAAGUCAAGGUCUAAUUUCUCCGGAGUCAAAUUUAAACGUUGAGCGCAAGUAGGAGAAAUGAAAAAAUAGGUAGAACUAGUAUCAAAUAAAGUAUAAAUUUCGCUAGACUUUAUGAUUAACUUACCUGUGAUCACCUCGUUCGGAUUCCUCACUUUUUGGGAGGUCACGACAAACGCUCUUCCUUGAACUACCGAUUUUGUCUUGUCUGGGACCCCCUUUGAUGCCUCCAUCCCAGCUGGACUUGACUUUGGUACACGGCAAAAUCGGGCUAGGUAGCCUUCUUUUCCACAAUUAUAACAUGCUUUGGACUACAUCGUGCAGUUUGGACUUAUGUGUCCUUCCCCUCCACAUUUGUAACAUACGACCGGCGGUCGUUCUUCUUCCUUAACAGCGAGUGCUGGUGCUGACGUCUUUCAAUCUUUGCUGAACCUUCUCUUCUUGAACUUUCCACUCCUAUUGUCAUGGCAAUGAUUACCACCGAAGUGGUUAUCACUUCUGGCAAGUUGAUUCCCUCUGCGUUAUUCAUUGAAUCAUCCAUGGUCAUAACUAUACCGAAUAAUACCUGGUCAUAAUCAUACCAAAAAUUGUCCGUCAAUGCACUACAGGCUACUAAGGACUUUUACCACCUCAUUUAUAACAUUACAGGUCAUGAUUAUACCGAAUGAUCUCUAGUCAUAAUCAUACAAAGUCCAUCUAUGCACUUAAGCCAAAGAUAACUUUUAUCACAAUAUAAGCAUGAGGAUGAUGACAAUGACAUAAUAAUUCAAUAAAACAAGUUCAAGAAUAAAUUUUAAAGAUUUAUAAGUUAAUUUAGCAUGAACUCAAUAAUAUUCAAAUUGUCAACAUGAUACUUUUUUGUGGAGUAAAAAUUCAAGAAUGUUCAGAAGAAUAUUUUCAUUAAAAGAUACUGAAUGAAGUGCAAAUAUCAAAGAUAUUCCACUAAUUUCAUGGAGUAUAGAAGUUAAAGCUUUAACCAACUAAGUAUAAGAGAAUAUAUGAAACUACAAAUGGAUUUUCGGCCGCCACGCGGUACUCCACUUAGACUGAUCAUUUUCAUAAUUUAAUAAGGAAUGAAUACAAAGGUUCAUUCACCAUGCAUGUGAUAAUCCACAUAGACAGGUUAUUCCAACAGAAUGAUAAAUAAUGGAAUAACAGAAGAAAUCAUUAUGCAUGCGAUAGACCGCACAGACAGGUUAUUCCGACAGAAUAAUAAAUAAUGGAACCAGGUCCGGCGUAAACGCACAGACAGGAUAUUCCGACAGAAUAAUAAAUGAUGGAACCAGGUCCGGCGUAAACGCACAGACAGGAUAUUCCGACAGAAUAAUAAAUGAUGGAACCAGGUCCGGCGUAAACGCACAGACAGGAUAUUCCGACAGAGUAAUAAAGAACGGAAUAAUAUAAAAAUUUCACCAUGUAUACGGUACUUCGUAUAAACAGGUUAUUACAACAUAAUAAUAAAUAAUGGAAUAACAGAAGAAUUUCAUCAGAUUAUUCAAUAAGGAUUUCUACCUAUUGGCGCGCAAUUAGGUGACCAACCUCUCCUUGGCAGAACUUCUAGACAUUAUAAAUAUUAUAAUUUAAUAAUAUGAAUAACUUUGUCGUCUCAAUUAUUGAUUUAAUAAUAUAUCAUAUAAUGCAGAUGAUACUGUGACAAUAAUCGAAUCAAUAAUAUGAGAGAUAUGAUGCAACAAUUACUGUAGCAAUAAUUGAAUAUAACUGAGUGACUUCUCAUGUAAGCAUCAAUAACCAAUACCGUGUGCUACUAUAUAACCACGCGUAUAACUGUACUUUUACUACCGGAUAGUUCAACAGUUUUAACAGUAACACUUUCGCCGUUAUUUUUAUAACACGAUAAUUCUAUCGUUUUCUUACUACGAUAAUACUUCCGUUGUGGAGUCCACCAAUGAUUGUGCCGUCGUACGAAUAUUCCCUGUUAAAACGAAUAUUCUCCGACCAAUCGAAUAUUAUAUAACCACUUGCUUACUUUGUAAAAUUUAUAAAUAUUACCCAAAACUAUAACAUUAUAUCAUAUCCACACCAUAAUAUUCAAAAAUAUAUUUUGAGAGAAAUUAAUUUUUAUUCAUAAAAGUUGGGGUCUUACAAUAUUUAGUCUAGGACGCCAAAAUCGCUCCAGCAGAUGGACUAUAUUUAGUCGAUCAACUUUUUCGGCCGCUCAAAACGACCAAAUCUGCGAACGAAAAAUCAGCCAGACUAUAAUUUAAUAUAAUUAAAUGGAAAACUCUCUGUUAAAGAAAUUGAAGAAAAAAAAUAAGAAAAACUCUGUUGAAGAAGAUCUGUCGAAGAAGAAGGAGAUGAAGUGAGAGAACUGAAAGUGAAGUGAAGAAGAGAUGAACGGUAAUAAAGUACAAUCCAACGGAUAGAAAAAAAAAAUUCAGAACGGUAAUAAAGAGUACAAACGGAUAGAAAUUGAAAGCCUAAUUGGAAAUCUAUAAAUAUGUAUAAUAAUUCAAUUUAUUUUAUAUCUUUCAAUCAACUACUCCAACAUUUAGCAAUUGUAAGUAUUUUAUUAAUAAUAGUUUAUAUUUUUAUUAUAUUUGAUUUUUGUUUUUUAUUGAUAAUAUCUCUUUAAUUUAUUUUUUAGAUAAAAAAUUAUGAUCCUCCGAUGUAUUAUUCUUCAUUAUUAUCUGAAGGUUUCUCACUUGAUGAUCCAAAUUUGUUGGAUGAAUUUUCAAUUCAAAUUGAUGUACCAAUUCAGACUCCCAAAAAUGAGUCCAAUAAAAGAACAGGGCAAAAGAGAAAUUACACAAUUGAAGAAGAUGCUCUUCUUGUUUUCGAAUGGCUUAAUGUAAGUAUGGAUCCAAUUCAAGGAAACGAUCAAAAACAUGAAAGAUAUUGGGAAAGAGUUCACAAAUACAAAAAUUUUGAAUCUAAACGUAAUUCUACUGCUUUGGCGAAACGUUGGUCAACAAUUCAACUCGUGGUGAACAAAUUUUAUGGAUAUUAUGCUUCAAUUGAAAGAAUGCAACAAAGCGGUGUAAGCGAACAAGAUAAGGUAUUUCAAUUUUUUCAUAUAAAAUUUCAUUAAGUUUUAUUCUUAUAUUUUAUAUUUAAUACUUUGUAAAUAAUUUUUCAAUAGAUAUGUCAAGCAUUAGAGAUGUUCAAAAGUAUGCAAAAUCAACCAUUUGAAUUUAUGCAUUGUUGGAGAAUAUUAAAAGAUGCACCGAAAUAGAGAACAGAUAAUAGUAGAAAAAAAUAGAAAAAUAAUAGAAAGUCAAGUCCAACAGCAUCUUCUCCAUCAACUACAGAAGAAGUCAGUUUGGGUAAAGACGAUGGUAUUGAAGAUACAAUCUCUGCAAGAUUAGAGAGACCAAUAGGAAAAAAGGCUUCAAAAGCAUUAUUUAAAAAGGGCAAAGAAAUCGGUGAUACUAGUACACCUAUGGAGUUGAUGUUUGAGAAGUUCGAGCAUCAGAUUAAAUUGAACCAACAAAAGAGACAAGAGAACAUGGACAGAAUAUAUUUUCAAGAGCAAGAGAAGUUGAAUAUACUAAAAGCACAAGAAAAUGAAAGGAUCAUGAUGAUUGACACUGCUAACAUGGAGCUUAAAGUAGCUAAAUAUUACAAACAACGUAAGAAAGAAAUCAUGAAAAGAGUUACAUCUAAUAAUUGACUGGCUUAUUAUUGUAGUAGAAUAUAAUAGAGCCUGAAGUAGCUUAAUUUCCUUAUUAUUGUAGUAGAAUGUAAUGGAUUAGGCUCGGCCAUGUAGUGACCACAAGUGUUGAAUAAUAUCUUCUUGCAGUUUAGAAUGAACUUGUUUAUCCCUUAUGAAAGUAAUUGUGGGGUACGCUCAUGAGACACUUCUACAGUUGAAAUCUCGUCAUGUGUAUCGUAGGUUGUUGGUUCUUGAUUUUCAUCUCGUUCAUCUUCAACUAUCAUAUUAUGUAAUAUUAUGCAUACAGUCAUAAUUUCUUUUAGUGUUGUUUAAUCCCAAAAUCGUGCAGGACCACGAACUAUCACAAAACGUGCUUGCAGUACCCCAAAUGCUCGCUCAACAUCCUUUCUAAGCGCCUCUUGAGUCUUAGCAAAUAGUUUUCUUUUAUUUCCCUAAAGUGCCAAAAUGAUUUUAACAAAUAUUGUCCAUGGGGAAUAUAUACCAUCAACAAGAUAAUAUCCCAUCGUGUACUCAUUUUCAUUAAUUGAGUAGCUCACUGGUGGAGCACGACCUUCAGUAAGAGCAGAAAAGAUAGAUGAUCUCUCCAAAACGUUAAUAUCAUUAUGAGAGCUUGGUAAUCCAAAAAAUGCAUGUCAUAUCCAAAGAUCGUAUGAAACCACCGCUUCUAAAAUAAUUGUUGGCUCGUGCACAUAUCCAAAAUACAUAUCAUGCCAUGCAACUAGACAAUUCUUCCAUUUCUAAUGCAUACAAUCGAUGCUCCCCAACAUCCUAAGAAAACCACGCUCUUCAACUUUUGAUAGCAAUCUAACGAUGUCAUUACUAUUGGGUAAUCUCAAAUAUUCAUCACCAAAAAUUGAAAUGAAUGCUUUUACAAACCUUUUAAGACUCAAUAUAGCCAUGCUUUCACUGAUUCGCACAUAAUCAACGGAAUCCGCUGAAACACCAUAGGCAAACAUCCGUAUUGAGACAGUUAUCUUUUGUAGAGAAGAUAAACCGAGAUGUCCUGCAGCAUUCAUUUUUAGUACGAAAUAUGAAUUAUACGCUUCAACUGCUCUUUGAAUUCAGAAGAAAAACAGACACCACAUUCUAAACCUUCUCCAAAAUAGAUACCGAGGAGGGGGGUAUGUAGAAUUUUCUACAAAAUAAUCACAAAAAAAUCGAUUAUGACCUUCAUGUCUACCACGAUCAAUGAUAAUACAACCUUACACAGAACCACGAUGACGUAAUGUAUACCUAUUGACAUUUUUUUUUUCUUCUACAAUAACCAACAUGCCUAAUAAUUGUCCAUAUACUUUUUCAUCUUCUUCUUCAUCCACGUGCAACAUAACUAAUUCAAAUUAACAAGACAUUUAAAAUAACUUAUUUGACUGAAAAAAUAAAAUUAAAAUGAAUAAAUAUGAAAGAUUAGAUGCGACAUAUAUUUUAUAAAUACUAUUUAUUUAUUAAAAUAUAACCAUUAUAAUAUGACCGUUAAAAUAUGACCAUUAAAAUAUAGUCGUUGAAUUAUGCCCGUCAAAAUUUUUUUGAAUUAAUUGAUUAUUUUAAUUAUUUUAUAUUAUAAUCGACGAGAUAAUCCACAAGAUAGUCCAUCUGUUAAAAAAGAGCGAAGACUAAAAAACAUUUGCUAAUAUCAGAUAGACUAAAUAUAGUCCAGCAGAUCUAUCUAUUGGAGAUGCUCUAAACAGAAAUAGAUCAUAACUACAGUGAAGUUUAUCGGAUAUGCUUAGAUAUGGAGUAUGCAAGAAUUUAUGACAUCUAAUGUACUCAGAAAAAGGAUUUAACUAGCACAACUUUGCAGAAUUGUAACCCAACUCAGCGGCUUUAUCAUAAAAGUUUUGACAAAAAAAUAACCCACAACAGUUUAAAAUGAUAAUUGAGAAGAAAUAAAUGUCUAGCAUAGGAAGUUUUGAACUAUCAGCUCCAGCCAAAAACCAAAUAUAACUCAACACAUACAAGCAGUGAGUAAUCAAUCUUACUCAUGACAAAAAAUGAGAAGUGAUUUCAGCCAGUCCCAACACAAUAAACAAAGUAUACCAUUUAUGGACAGAAUAGAUGAGAUAGAGAAUAUACCUGAAAGAACAAUAUACAUUUAAAUAUACAUACAGAUUUUAAACAAUGUAUAGAUAUGCAUGUACAAAUACUUUAAUUACUUAAAAUACAUUCGUGUUUAAAAAAAACUGUAGAUAAGAAAUUUGUUGUUUUUGAAAGAAAUUUUAAUAUACUCUAAAAAAAUUACAAAUCUAGUCACGAAAAUUAGGAUUUAAACAGUUGUCACAAUCGUUGUUAAAAAAAUGAUUUGUUAGAUUAGAACUCAGAUCUUGAGCACUAAAUCUAACUAAAUUUGUUUAUCUGAAAACUCAUUUAAUCAAAAUGAACAACGAAACUUAACAGAUGAGAACGUUAAGAGUUUUCAGAUCUACAAACUUAGGGUUUUCCCCUUUUUAAAAAAAAAAUUGACACAAAUUAACACCAAAUACUGGUUUUUGAAAAAUAGAUUUUGAGAUAUAAAACUAUCCAUACUUAUUAAAAAAAAAAUCAGAGAAAGCCAACGGACAAAAAUGAACUGCAGAGAAAAACAAAAAGUAGAAUCAAACAAAUAAUUAGUAGAAGUAUGAUUUUGAGGGUGAUGAAUCGAUUGAUAGGAGCAGAUUAAUCGAAAUUGAAAUAAAAAUCAAGGACUUUUUACAGAGAACAGGGUUAGGGUUGAGAGAAUUUUGGGGAGAGAGAAAUGAGAUCCGGAAGAUAACAGAGAAGAGGAAGAGAAAUGAAAUUAAAAAU
rnacentral:lncRNA from 1 species